rnacentral:lncRNA from 1 species
AUUUUUUAGUAGUUUGAUUUGUCAUAAAAAUACAUAAGAAAAAUAAUAACUUUUAACAUAACAAUACAAUAAUAAAUUCAACAUUAUAUAAGAACAUAAUUUCUAAUCAAUAUUUCCUCCAAACUAUCCUCCGAGGGCACUUGGUCCCCCACCUAUUAUGUCUGAUCACAAAAUUUAUUCGUACUAUAUAACUUGUUGAUUUAAUAUUUUGAUUUUGAUGAUAACAAAAUAUUGCGUUGGUAGCUAAUUUAUUUACUAAGUGUGCAGAUAAUGAGCGAUUAAGUUACAAAGCUCAAACUGACCAAAUAGACUGCAAACACUUUCUAUCAGAAAUUGUUGAUACCUAUUUCAUGAGUGUCGACACCUUUAGAUUUGGAGGCUAUAUUGAUAAAUCUGAUAAAAGUCUAAUCUAAAUUACAAAUCUCUCCGGAAUGAAAUUAAUGAAAAUCAUACACAUCCAUGAGAAGACAUCUCGAAGAGCGUAAAGUGAACAAUGCUCAAAUGGCCAAGAAAAUCAGAGAAAUACAUUCUGGCGAGAAGUGUUGACACUUGAAGAUAAUAGCAAAAGACUUGAAUCUGAAAAUGAAGUGUCGACACCUAAGAUCAGUAACAAAGUUUCAUGAAGACAGACAAGAAUUAUUGAUACCUGACAUCAGUAGCAAAACUUCAUGAAAACAGACAAGAAGUGUCGACACCUAGAACCAAACAAGUGAAUGUAGAAGAGUGUUUACGUAAUUAUACUCCGGAUAAAGCACAUUGUAUAAUUUUAUAUUUUUUUGAAUCUCUUUAAUCAGGUCCAUCCGUACCUGUGCCCAAUCGUUUUCAUCAUACCCUACUUAUGCAACUAUCGCCCUGAAUCCACAAUAACCAUUAGCUUAGAUGUCAAUAGUGUAACUAAUGAAAUAUUGAUAACCCUAGGUAAUUCUUGAAUAAAGGGAUUAAAGAUGGGUGGAGCUGGAGGUUAAUUUUUGACAAACUCUCGAGUUUGCAACCGAUAGAGUGACCGGUGUGUUGUAGUUGAGUUAGAUGCCCCUAGAUCCUAAAGUAUAUGACUCUAAAAUAGAAGGUAUGCGUCGUAUACUUUGCUCAUCUCUGCCUGCAGGUUGACAUUUGUAUUUCAUGUUAUAUGCCGAAGAUCAAACUGUACUAUGAGAUGGAAUUGCCAUAUCGAUAAUCCUAUUUAUCAUAUUAUCUUGCGUAAAUUGAUCAUUCCUUUUAACAGUUCAAUAAAUUGAUAAUAUAAUGAAACAAUAAUAGUAUGACGAAAUAAGAAAUAACAGAUGCUUGUUUGAUCAAUAGUAAAUUUAAGUGUAUAGUCACAACCUAUAUGGAAGAUGUUUUCUCCACUUGGAAUAUCACUCUCGACUGUCUAACUAUUUGAAAUUGAGUCAGCCAUAGUGCUCUAACUAUGGAUUUCGAAAAAAAAUAUGGAUCAAAUCUUGAUAUAAAUUAAAAGAGUGAUAGUAUGAAUAAAAUGAGAACUCUAAAAAAUAUUCUUCAUAUAUAUAUAUAUAUAUAUAUAUAUAAGUUGCCCCUAGUAUAGUUAGUCUUAUCUUGUUCCCCCUAUAGAUGUCAAUUGCCUCCUAAUUUUGUCAUAAAAAAAUAUUAUAAAUUUUGAUUCAUAUUAUAAAAAAAAAUUCUUUUAGAAAAAAUAAACAAAAGAUUAGAAACAUAUAAUAAAAAAAUAUUUUUCAAAAAAAACAGAUAAAGAAAAAAAAAAUUUAAUAAAAAAAUAUUAAAAAAAUUGAAAAAAAACAACAACAAAACUAAAAAAAUUUUUUUAAAAAGGGGGCGAUUGGGAGGGGAUUCGGGCGAGGGGGCGGGGAAGGGGUGCUGGGAGAAAAAAAAGGGGACGGGGUAAUUGGGUAAUUGGGGAAAGGAUUUGGGGGUGGGGCCCGGCGUUUUCGUGGGAGGAUCAGCUCUCUUAUUUUCUAAGGACCUCCAAUAAUUUUAGGGUAAAUUACAAUCACCUCCACUAAGGUUUUUCUUUAAUACAGAUGUUCCCUGAUGUUUGAAAAAUUAUACCGACUUUUCUUACUUUUUAAAACUUGUAACACAACCACUUGCAUUUGUCGCUCAUCUCUCUCUCUCUCUCUUUCUCAAGUUGUGAUGAUUUUAAUAUUUUAUCAUCAACCCUGAUAUGCUAUGUUUGGUAUCAGUUUUUUUUUAAUUUUUUUUUUGCUUAAAAUAAGUAAAAAAAUUAAUUUUUUAACUUUUUUAUUUUAAUUUUUUUGCUUAGUUUUAAUUACAAAUGAAUCAAAAAAAAUAAAAAAAGUCACAAAAUUCUGACCCUUUUGUAGAAAGCUUAAAAAAUUUUUGAUUUUAAAUAUUACCCAAUGGAGCCACUAGCACACGCAUUUUGCACAUUUUUACGCAUUCUAUGUUAGGUGUACGUAUCUUUAGAAUAAAACGGCAUUUUUUUUUAAAAUAAAAAAUAUCGAACAAGGCGAAUAAGGCUAAAUAUAGAAAACAAAAAGUUAAAAGUAACUAUUUGGGAGGG